AGCGAACGUUGGCGGCAGGCUUAACACAUGCAAGUCGAGCGCCCCGCAAGGGGAGCGGCAGACGGGUGAGUAACACGUGGGAACGUGCCUUUUGGUUCGGAACAACCCAGGGAAACUUGGGCUAAUACCGGAUAAGCCCUUACGGGGAAAGAUUUAUCGCCAAAAGAUCGGCCCGCGUCUGAUUAGCUAGUUGGUGGGGUAAUGGCCCACCAAGGCUACGAUCAGUAGCUGGUCUGAGAGGAUGAUCAGCCACAUUGGGUCUGAGACACGGCCCAAACUCCUACGGGAGGCAGCAGUGGGGAAUAUUGGACAAUGGGGGCAACCCUGAUCCAGCCAUGCCGCGUGAGUGAUGAAGGCCUUAGGGUUGUAAAGCUCUUUUAGCAGGGAAGAUAAUGACGGUACCUGCAGAAAAAGCCCCGGCUAACUUCGUGCCAGCCGCCGCCGUAA
rnacentral:rRNA from 1 species